rnacentral:rRNA from 1 species
GUGGGGAAUAUUGCGCAAUGGGGGAAACCCUGACGCAGCGACGCCGCGUGAGCGAAGAAGGCCUUAGGGUUGUAAAGCUCUGUUUUAAGGGACGAAUGUCGUGGGGAGUAAUAUGCUCUGCGAAUGACGGUACCUUAAGAGGAAGCCCCGGCUAACUACGUGCCAGCAGCCGCGGUAAGACGUAGGGGGCGAGCGUUGUCCGGAAUUACUGGGCGUAAAGAGCACGUAGGCGGGAACUUCAGUCAGGUGUGAAAGACCGGGGCUCAACUCCGGGGUUGCACUUGAAACUGGGUUUCUUGAGGGCAGGAGAGGAAAGCAGAAUUCCUGGUGUAGCGGUGAAAUGCGUAGAAAUCAGGAGGAAUACCAGUGGCGAAGGCGGCUUUCUGGACUGACCCUGACGCUGAGGUGCGAAAGCGUGGGUAGCAAACAGGAUUAGAAACCCGGGUAGUCC